rnacentral:siRNA from 1 species
GCACUGAGCCUGAGAUUGCUUUGC